GGCAGACACAGACACAGACAGUGACUGUGGGUGUGACCAGCACUGCGACAGAGGGAAGGAGGCACUCUGGCUGGGGAAGCCAGGGCAGAUGGCAUCUGAUCUGCUUCAAGGAUGCUCAAAGGCUCCUGACUGUGGAGAGCUAAAGCUGCCAGGAGCUGCCUGUGCUUGCCAAGUGGUUGCAGAUGUUUCCUCCCUACUGCUCUGACUUUGCCAGGAGCAUAAAUUCAGUGAAUCUACGUGACUCUCAGUGAUGGCAUCAUUGCCUAAUAUCCACCCAGCUUCUGCUUGAAAACUUCCAGAGAACUCCCCACAUCUCCACGGCUUCCUUCUACCUUCAGGUAGCAGGAAGUUCUCCCUCACACUGUACCUUUCUUCCUACAUCACCCAACCGCUGGGGUCAGUUCUGCCGCCACAGAACUCCAAACAAUUCAAUAGACCUUAGGUACUGGGCACCCUGGCCAGGCCUCAUGCCAGACUCCAGGAUCAUGGAGGAACCAGUGUUGUCCAGCAAGGACUGGACAGGCAUAAAGUCCUGUAGCUCUGUCUGACUCCAGACUCAAUAAUAAUCCCAGCUGCCACCGAUAGCCCCUUCUGGGUGCCCAGCCCUGCUGCCUCAUCAAAUACCAGCAAUAUCUACCUCACUGAAUCCCCACAACAACCCUGCCAGAUAGUAACUCUCAUCCCCAUGUUAUAGCUGAGAAAACUGAGGCCCACAGCAAUUAGAUAUCUUCCCAAAGGUCACACAGUUGGUAUGCGUGGAGCCUGAUUAAAACCAAUGUGGCUACUAGCCUCUCACUGGG
rnacentral:lncRNA from 1 species